UACGUAGGGGGCUAGCGUUGUUCGGAGUUACUGGGCGUAAAGAGUGCGUAGGCGGUGUCGAAAGUUUGGCGUGAAAUCUCCCGGCUUAACUGGGAGGGUGCGCCGAAAACUGCGGUGCUGGAGUGUGGGAAAGGCAAGCGGAAUUCCUGGUGUAGCGGUGAAAUGCGUAGAUAUCAGGAGGAACACCGGCGGUGUAGACGGCUUGCUAGACCAUAACUGACGCUGAGGCACGAAAGCGUGGGUAGCAAACAGG
rnacentral:rRNA from 1 species